AUUCUACCCAUGUGGGGAAGGAUGAGAAGCUUCGACUAAGGUUCGAUUCGAGCGUCAGCGAGAAAGCGUUGCCGCAGGCAACGACCCGAAGGGCGAAGCGCGCAGCGCUGAGUCAUCCUUCCCCCACCACCA
rnacentral:sRNA from 2 species